GAUGAACGCUGGCGGCGUGCCUAAUACAUGCAAGUCGAGCGAACAGACGAGGAGCUUGCUCCUCUGACGUUAGCGGCGGACGGGUGAGUAACACGUGGAUAACCUACCUAUAAGACUGGGAUAACUUCGGGAAACCGGAGCUAAUACCGGAUAACAUAUUGAACCGCAUGGUUCAAUAGUGAAAGACGGUCUUGCUGUCACUUAUAGAUGGAUCCGCGCCGCAUUAGCUAGUUGGUAAGGUAACGGCUUACCAAGGCAACGAUGCGUAGCCGACCUGAAAGGGUGAUCGGCCACACUGGAACUGAGACACGGUCCAGACUCCUACGGGAGGCAGCAGUAGGGAAUCUUCCGCAAUGGGCGAAAGCCUGACGGAGCAACGCCGCGUGAGUGAUGAAGGUCUUCGGAUCGUAAAACUCUGUUAUUAGGGAAGAACAAAUGUGUAAGUAACUAUGCACGUCUUGACGGUACCUAAUCAGAAAGCCACGGCUAACUACGUG
rnacentral:rRNA from 1 species